AGUUAGCUCAGGGCUAAUCUUCCUCCAAAAAAAAAAAAGAACUACCAACAAUGGUUAAUGUUUUCAUUCACAAACAGAAAAUGGAAUCUAAUUAAACAGAUUUUCUUCCUCCUGAACUGUUCAUACCAAAUCUUCAGAGAUUCAGGCUCAUUGCUAAAAAAAAAAAAAAAAAAAUGUUUACUCCUCAAAGUUGGGAGCAGGAGAUGUAAGAAGAGAAAUUGUGAGGAAGUUCAAGAAAUACUAUUUUAUUAUCAUUUGCAUAGGUUAAAAAAAACCCCUUAAAUUCUAAGAACAAAAUGCCAUGUAUUAAUCCGAAAACAGGCCUCCUCCUGGAAGCAGCUGCGAAAAAGGCUGAAAUGAAAGGGGUGAAGAACCUCACGCCUUGUGAAUCUCAGUACUGCGCAGCACAACAAAUGCAUAAAAUUGCUGUAUGGCAACAUGACAUGAUAGCUUAUUUAUUUAAUUGAGUUGAGAGAAUCAUCAUUUUCUUUAAGCCACUGAGCAAAAUAGAAUGUAUUCCAGCGCUCAAGAAUAAUAUUGGGAGAAGCCACAGGGCAGAACAUAGUGCUGGAUGAGAAUGGGGUCCUCUGACUCCCGGGGCAAGGGGUGCGCUGGGGAGUUUCUAACUAUUCCUUGUUUUCCACCGCUCAGAUCCAUUCUCCUCCCCGCUCUGGGUCCAGCAGUCAGACCUCUCCAGCCUCUACCCUCCAGCUCCUCACUCUCUGGAGUCAGGUUGGGUUUGGCCGAUGGAAGACACUGGCAGGGCCUUGGAAGGUGGGAGGAGAGAUGUCAGGGUAUUUAUGCCUCCCUCUCUUCCCCCCGCUGUGAUUCUGUUCCUCCGUGGCCGUGGUUCUCAGAGUGGUCAACACACCAGCAGCAUCUGCAUCACCUAAGAGCUUGUUAGAAAUGCAAGUUCUUGGCCCUUCCCUGAACCUUCUGAAGGGUCCAGCAACCAAUAGUCUAACAAGCCGUCCAGGGAUUUCGAUGCUCUCAGACUCUGAGAACCGCUGACAUCUGGCCCCAGUUCCUGGUGGGCACACCUUCCUCUGCACUCCCAGCUUUGAUGGGACUCCCGUGUUUCUGUCCCCUUCUUUUGUCCCUUCUGGUCUGGAUUCUCAGCACAGCUAGUGUUUCGGUAGCUCACAGACCCUUGUCAGCUGCCUUGUCCCUGCCUCCUAGCGCUUCGUAGAGUCUCUUCAUUUGUAUCGUUCGGGUUCGCUGCCUGUCUGCUGCUGGGAGCGUGAUUGACAGAGAGAGGCGCCAACUGUGGACGAAGGCUGGAAGCCAAAGUGUGCAGGGAUAAGAACAGCGUGGUCAGAUCACGACAGAGACCGCAUGGGGAGAGAACCUCUGCUGCGUGCCAGGCGUCCACGCAAAAUAGCCCUGAUGUGCUGGCGAGCAGAGGAAGGCAGUGCCGGAGGCGUGCUGGAGGAGGCGUGGGUUACCGGAGCUCUCCCAGUGUGACCUGGCAAGUUCGGCUCCCUCUGCUUGGAGCAGUCUCUGUCCUCAGCUGGCUAACCCCUACUCACUCCACUCAGACACCAUCCACGGACCUGGUCCCUGGCCCCAGCUACCCCGGGCACAGUUAGUUGUCCCUCUUCCGUGUCCCCCAGUUCCAUGCGUUCCUCCAUUGCCAUGGUUGCCACAGGUGUGGGGGUCCGUUUCCUCCCCAAGGGCAGGCAUUUGUCUUGCUCAUCUUUGCACCUCGGGCCUAGCCCAGGGCCUGGCGCACGGCAGAGGCUCAGUACUCCCAGAUGGCUAGCGCUGCAUUUGGGAGCAGCUCUGCGAGAGGACUUGCCUCGGGCCUGCUCUGUCCCCCAUUCUUCCCUGGCUAAAACACAUACACAUUUAUAUCUUCCACAGACAUUGACAGGCUGCCUGCUGGGCUCCAUGCUGGAUGCUGGAGAUGCAGGAGUGAUCAGAAGAAGCUCUCCUGGAGCCCGCAGGCUGUUAGACAGGACGGCCGUGUGCCCGACAAUGCUAACGCAGAGCAGAGGCCCUCAGUGGCCAGGGAGGAGUGUGCUGUGGGAUGAGAGGAAGAAGGAGUGGCUCCUAGUUGGGAUCAGGGAGGACUUCACGCUCUCUUUCCUUCCCCCAGGGACGUCUUCCUGUUUCUAGUAUGGUGAUUGCUGCUGUGGUGAGGUGGGCUGAUCACACACAGAAGCCCCCCACCCCACCAGUCCCUCUGCCUACCUUGUCUAUGGGCUUGGUCCUGUGUUACGGUUUCUUAAGAAAUACCGCCCCUCACCACUCUGGGAAUGUUUUAGGAAUCUCAACCAAAUAUGAAUCUCUUUGAUUGGCACAGUGAUUAGGGCAUCUGCUGGCAAGGUCAGGGCAAGGUCAGGGAGGCCAUAUACCCUGCGAAGCCCAGGACAGUCUGGCUCAGUGAACAAGUGUGGUAGGUUGCACACGACUCUCCAGUGCCCUGCCUGACAUUCGAGAGCGUGAAAAACCUGUUUAUAAUGCUCUGAGACUAAAACCUAAUCCCGUCUCACAUGUAAACACAAAAGUACUUUCUGCUCGAUUUUGAUAAACACUGAAUUUCCCAGAGGUGCAGCUGUUGUAUAAAUCAGAGAAGACUGUACCUUGUUUUGUCUGGAACUUGGCCAAGGGUUGUUCAAAGGCUUGGAAAUCAUGUCACCAGUGGCAACGGUCACAUUUGGUGCCCAGUUGGACUUUCCUUUAUCAGUCUGCAUUUACAACUGUUACAUUCAUAUUUAUUUAAUCCUUAUUUUACACUGCCAAGAAUAAGGAAAAAGUGUUGACGAUAUAUACUUUUUCAAGCAAAUGCAACAGAGCUUACACCAAGUGCUAAGGAGAGGUGGGCGGGUGGUGAGAAAAUGAGUAAUUUGAGGACGGGAGCUCUUUUAGGUAGAGAGGUCAAGGAAUCCUUUCUGUGGAGGUGAUGUGAGGUGAAAGCUGAAGAGUGACAAAGAGCCAGCCAUGCAAAGGCCCUGAGGUUGCCAUAGCUGGGCACAUGCUAUGUACUGUCAGAACACCCAUGUGACUGGAGUGCAAGUGAGCCAGGGGAGAGCAGCAGGGACCGAGGCUUAAGAAGUAAAAAGGGCCUUGAAACCACGUAUCGGGCUGGCUGCUGCGUGAAGAAGCGGUGGAACAGGCGAGGAUGGAGGAAGAACAGGUCAGAAUGGAGAGCAGGCUUCCAGGAGGGUGAAGAGCAGGGCUGCCAUGUUGCUUCAGACCAUGGUGAACCAACCUCAGGGAAAACAGAAGGAAGAGGAAAGAUUCUCAUUGCGGAGGGAAAUCUCUACAAGCAGCCUGUUAAGUAGUAAAUGUUACUGCUGUGCCUGAACGGAGUUAUCAUCCACGGGAAGCGUCAGCUGAUAAGGUGUACAACACAGAGUAGGUCGUCCCACCUGCUGAGCUUGGAGGCAAUUCCUUCAUCAUCUGGGGAGAUGUGCAUUCAACAUCAUCGUCCUUCCUCUCCUCCAAAUGCAACCUUGGUUUGCACGGUAGUUGGGCCUAUUCUGGAUGUCGGCUCUGGAAAUUCCACUCCAUCUACUCUGAGUGAAAACGGACUUGGUUGGGAGAAUCUCAGGAUGUGUGGCUGAAUCCAGCCUCAGAAAUAAAGCCAGGCAGCAGGACCAGAGCUGGCCUGGGGUGCUGUUCCAAGCCGGGAGUCUUUGCUCUGUGUCACUUAUUCAUGCUUCUCUCUUUGCUGUUCUGUCUUGCUGUAGUCCAGCUUUCUCAGUUUCCCAGUUCUCGUGGUGGGACGUGGUCACCUCUACCAGCUCCCAAGGGUCCAUGCUACAGCCCAGCCAUCUAGAGAGAGUCUGCCCUCUUCCCCGAAUGCAGCAUCCCUCCCCAGACCAGUCCACUGUAAGCAGGGGGUAGGUCACACUUUAACAUGGAACUUUGGCUGCAACUCUAUGGAUGGGGUGAGGAAGGAUGAAUUUCUAGAAAAGCAAUAGUAGGAAGAUAACCCAAGAGAUGUCCAUUGCAUUGCUAGCAAGAGCCCAGAUUCACCCCACAAAUGGAUAGCAAGCUCAGGGACUCCCGCCAUCUUGUAAUUCAAGUUCUGACAUUGAAGCCCAUAAAUACCUACAAAUGAAAAGGGGCUGUGAAGGACAGAGAGCGUGUAUUUCUGAUUCCAUGUGGAGCUGUGACCAGAUCUGAGUCCCGCACACUCACCACCUCAUUCUCAGAGCUUGUGCUGUUGAUUUAGUCUUGGGGGCAUCACUCCUCGACCCAAACCAGGUUUCCUUUCCCCUCUUUGGCCCGGCUCCUCACUAAGUAAUAUCCACAAUAUACCAGGGGCUUGCAGCCACAGUGAUGAAGCUGCUGCCCCUCGAAAACAUUGCUUCUCUACAUUAUCUCUCAGCCUCCCAACAACCCCAUCUUCUAGAUGUGGACUUGAGGCUCACAGAGGUUGAGCAAUUUGCUAAGGUCAUAUUGAUAGGAAGAAGGGAACUGGGACUGGCUCUCACACAUUUCUAGCUCUACAGCCUUUAUUUAUUUCAUAACACUACACUAGUCCCUCCACACAACAACACAUCUCAAGACCAGGGUGUCAGCAAGAGAAAACAGGGAAACAAUGGACAAGAAAAUGGGCCCGUAAUUUCUACAUUCGAAAAAGGAUGUAGAAAUGCACGGGUGGACCCGACGUCUGCUGGAUUCUUAGUUGCUGUGGCCUCAGGUUGGCUUAGAACUGUGUUCCAUAACUGCGGAAGCUCAUAGUCCUCUUCUGGAUGGGGUGGAUUUCCAGGGGGCUUUUGGGCCCAUUUUCCCCUUGUCACUCAGGUUCUGUGGCCCAUGGGUGCUUUCUACGUGGGACAUAGCAUUGACCCAGACAUGAAAACACAUUCCUUUUCUUAGGUAACAUCCUGAGCCUAAGUAAAACACAUCCACACAAAGUUUUCCACUAUUGCGAACAUAGUAAUCUUCCCGGAGGAUGUGGAGGUGGGCUGAAGACGGGUUUCUACCCGUCUACACAGUCAGUCUAAGGUUUGACAUUAGUCACUCCCAUACUUACAUUAUCUUAUGGUCAUCACAUCCAGGGACAUUUCCACUCACUCCUCACCCCAUAGAGUCCCCUCACCACUUGCCAUCUGCAGAACUCCCCUCUCUCCCUCUCCUACCUUUUCUUGAGUGUCAGGGUAAAACACGCGGUCUUCUCAUUUUCUAAUGCUAAUAGCUGCUAGAUGCAAACCGGCUCACUAUUCUGAGCCUAUCUUAUAGUCCCUGGGUGGAACCAGAGCCUCUGCUCGUGGAAAGCCCCCUCCCCUCUCUGCCCUGGGGCCGCUCUCUCCAUUCUCCCCAGGUCUAGCAUCCUCUGUCCACCUGGAGCUGAAGCCGCUCACAUCAGUACCUGCUGUUGGAAGUCAUCUUUCUCUGACAGCACUAGCUUGGCCCUCCUGCCUGGAGCCUCCAGAAGCAGCCAUCCCUGAGGAGAGAGAGAAGGCAUUUCCUCCAGGUGGAGCAGCCAAGAAGAAAAGCUCCUCCAGCUAAUGAUCUCUCCACAUUGGCGGCAGGAGGAGACGAUGGUUUCUGGCAGCCCCUGGUGUACAUUAUUUCAACUCCCUGACCAACAAGAAAGAAAGAGUGUUGUGAUCAUUGGUUCACGUGAUAAUGCUGAGGGCGGAAAGCUCCCCCUAGACCACGAUUUCUGUUCAAUGUGAUGGAGGCAAAGGGGACAACUCCUGUAAACUGACAGCACUUACCGGUUAUGCUCUCCUGCAUGAGCACCAAGGACCUGGCCACGUGAGUGUGACCAUCAGACCCCGGCAGGGGUCAACACCGGUCAUAGGCCUGCAGAGCUGGGCCGAAGAGCAACGCCGAUCACAGCAGGAACAGCAGUUUUAGAAGCUCCAGGCGCUAAGUGUUCUACACGUGUUAUCUUCCUUGACUCUCCGAGCAGCUCUGGAAGGUAGGUACCAUUACUGUCAUCAUUUUGCAGCUGAGCAAACUGAGGCUCAAAGACGUUGAGUAAAUCGCUCCAGGUCACAACUGAGAAAGCGGUGGUUUUGAACGUGGGUGAUGUGGCUUCUACUCUCCGCUCUCUCUGCUCUGCUGUGUGGACUUUCAUGAACACGCCGCGACCCAAGCCAAGACCAGGAGCCUCUGGGUGGGCGGCCCGGGCAUCUCCGUGUACUCUGUGGAGCUGGCAGGUGGGUACUAUUGUGGACUCGCCCUGGGAACGAUUUGUUCUCCGUGAAUCUCCAGCAAGGUCAGGAUUUCAGCUGCCACUGCUCUGGGAAACAUCUUACAGGAAACAGCAAAGAAAAGCUUGGCCAAAAAAUGCAGCAUAUUAGAGCAGGAGAAUAUAUAGAAGCCCCCUUGUCCACAGGGAGCGCAUUCUAAGACCCCCCAUGGGUGCCUGAAACACAGAUAAUACCAAACCCCAUGUAUACUGCACGUCUUUUCCUGGACAGUCAUGCAGUCGCUUAACGACAGAGGUUUGUUCUGGGUAACGCGUUGUUAGGUGACUUCGUCAUUGUGCGAACAUCAUAGUGUGUACUUACACACACCUAGGUGCUAUGGCCUCUACACACCUAGGCCGUUUGGUACCAAUCUUCCGAGACCCCCAUCGAAUAUGUGGGCUGUCCUUGACUGCAGCGUUGUUACAUGGCGCGUGACUGUGCAUACAUAUCUAUGAUAAAGUUUAAUUUAUAAAUUAGGCACGGUGAAAGAUUAAGAGCAAUAACUAAUAAUCAAAUGGAGCAAUUAUAACAAGAUACUGUAAUAAAAGUUACCAUAGCUCUUAGCCACCUCAGCUUACGAUUAUUUUCCUUUCCUUAUUCAGCUGAGAACCUUCACCUUUUCUCUUAAAGGAAGCACUUUACGGCUGCCCUUUGGCACAUCUGAAUUGCCAGCAUCACUACUCUUGUGCUUUCGGGCCAUUAUUAAGUCAAGUAAGGGUGACUUGAACACAAGCACUGCGAUACUGUGACCAGUGAUCUGACACCCGCGAGGACCACUGCGUGACUAGCAAGCGGACAGCGUGUACAGUGUGGAUACACUGGACGAACGAUGAUUCACGUCCCAGGCAGGAGGGAGGAGGAUGGUGUGGGAUUUCAUCACACUACUUAGAACGGCACACAAUGUAAAGCGUAUGAAUUGUUUAUUUCUGGAAUUUUCCAUUUACUAUUUUUGGACUGUGGUUGACUGCAGGUAACUGAAACUGGAAAGAGAAACCAAGGCUCAGGGGAGAUUGCUGUAUAGCAUAACAGCAUGUAUUUUCUCUCUGCAUCUUCAUACAGGUGCUUGUGCAUUUCGAGAAGGGGCUCUGACAACAUCCCUGAGUAGAAUCCUGAAAACGUCCAAUCCAAGCGUGGUCCUUAGGAAUGCCGUUUUCCAGGAUUUCCAGUUCUCUGCCUUCAGGGGCAUGGUGGGGUUGCACCGCACCUGCCUCUCUGAGGUCAGGUGUGGCCAUGAGCAUUUGCCAGGGGAAUCUGAGUGGAGGUGACAUGUCUCACUUCUGGGGUAAGCCAUGCUCACUCUGCCUCGGUGCCCAGAGAGGCUGCAGUGGCGCAUGCUCUGUCAACCGUGUCUCAGAGCAGCCAAGCGCUGGCUGACCUAUGAUAGGCAUGCAGUGAGAGAGAGGUACACUCUUCUUAGUGUGAGCCGUUGAUUUUAGGGUGGGUAGUUACUAGAUCAUAAUCUGGUGUGUCAUGGCUGAUGCUUCAAGUCUCUGUUCAACCCAAAGAGCCCCGUCCCUCUGUUGAAGGACUUCCCCUGGGUCUCUACCUGGGGUUGAUCUAAGGGACAGGUUUGGAGACCACUGCAGCUGGAUUUGGAAGGGACCCAUUGCUGACCUCAAAGUCACAUUGACCAAAGUAUAUUAAAAAUGGAAAAUUGAAAUUCGGAGAGUAAUGGCACUUGAUAGAUGCAUGGAGAUUUAAUUUUUCAAAGACUUUCCACAUCUAUCAAAAUUUUUCCCCAGAAUAACAACAAAAACAAUACGUGACAGAUUCCAUUUCCCAAUGUCUACCGUCUCAUUUGCUCUUCUGCAAUGCGACCUUGCCAUCCUCCAUCAAGAGGUGAAGUUGAUGUCUCAAUCCUUGAUUCUAGGCUGGACUGGGACUCCUUUGACCAGUAGAAUAAAUCCGGCAGAAGUUAUGCUGUGGUGGUUCUGGGAGUAGCUCUGAACUGGCUGGAAGCUUCUGCUUCCUGCCUGCCUUAUUCAGGCUCUGGGAUGAGACACCAUGUGGAGAGAGAGAGAGAGACAGAGAGAGACAGAGAGAGAGAGAGAAGGAGAGAGAUAGCAAGAAGUAUCGUUGUGCCAAAUGUGCAAGUGAAGAGGCAUACUGGGAAACGGAAUCUCGAGCCCCAGAGGCCCAGGGCUAAGAUGAACGACCCAGCUGGGUCCUUCCCCAAAUCCUUGACCCACACAAUCAUGAGUGAAAUAGAUGGUUGGUUGUAGCCACUACAUUUUGCAGUAGUAUAUUAUGCAGCACUAGAUAACCAAAGCAUCGAAACAACAGUAAAACCUGGGAGGGAUGUCAGGCAAGACUUAUUUUCUUAUUUUAAAGAUAAGACAACUGAUGGUCAUGACACUGAGUCCUGUUCCUGGGAUCGCGGUGCUCCUUGGUGGAAUAGGAAGGACUAGAACACACGUGUUCUGAUUGUCAAUCUAGCUCAGGGUUUUUCCACCACAGAAGACAUCCUGGCAUGUAGGAUGUUUGAGGCAAACCUUGCAGAGGCUCUAGACGAGAGGAAAAUGAAGGCCAGAGGUGGAGGGCCUUGCUUAUGGUCACAUGGGGAGUUGGGCCGCUGACCAGACAAUCCCCGUCUUCUGACUCCGGGGUUCAGUGCUCCGCCCUACAGCUUCUGAUUCCUCCAUUAUCUGAGAGAAGAGCCAAAUUGCUUGAAAAUUAAAAUGCGUUUUUGUUGCCUUCUUUUCUUGGUAAUAUCCUGUAAAAGCAAACGAUAAUUCUCAGGGGGAUGUUAAAUAAAAAGCUGUAAAACUACCUCCUUGCCACAGGCUGAACAUUUGAAGGGAGAUUUGCCGAGGAGGAGCCAUAUCGUUAGAGCCAAGGGAGCCAGGAGAGGAGGAGACUGCAGUCUGUUCCCACUGCGGGAGCCCCCGCCAGAGAGACAGCCCUGGCCCAGAGCGUCCCUGGCCAGUCGUUCUCUCUAAACAGGAACAUCUCUAUUGACACGCUUAAUAUAGAAUGCGUAACACUUUUAUAUGUAAUUUACAUAGUUGGUAUAACCAUUUUAUUGAACAAUUUAAAGUCCCAUCACUGUCUUCCAAUACGUUCUGUCAGAUGUCUUUCUCUCCCUAUAAUGUUACCUCUAGAAGAUUCCAUAGAUUUCUGGUCACUUCUCAGUUAUGAGAGCCCUGUUUUCAGGUAUUAAAAGGUCCAGUCAAAUCUAAACAAAAACUUCUUUUUCACGUCUCGCUUCCUCUCUCCUCCAGUUUAGAAGGAUCUAAGCUUGGAGACCUGCACCAAGGGCACGUGACUUUUUCACUCUCUCACUGUCCUUCUACAGCCCUGCUUCCGUCUCCUGUUCCCUCUACUUUAGCCCCCAAAGGUGCAUCCACAGCCCCUUACUGAUGGAUUUUCCCGACCUGGCAGACACUGCUUUUGAGUAGGAUUCCAUCACGAUGGCUCCAACCCACUAACUUCUGUGCCCACUUGAUACAUGGGAAUCACAUACAUCCUUGCCCCAUCUAAUGGUGCCCAUGCAGCCUGCCCAACUCUGUCCCAGCUCUCUGUGCCCUGACAUUAUGAGCAGCUUCUUCCAGGUUGUGCCCUCAUAAGUUUCCAGGCAGGAAUUAAACAGGAGUCUCUAGGCCCACUGCGGCACAAACUCCCAGAAGAAAUUGUCAAGUGACUGAAGAACGCUCACCAUUGUAUGGGUUAGCUACUGUGUGAUAAUGCCAUGUAACAAACCACCUUCCAACUCAGAGACGUGCAACAUUAAGCCCCUAUUCUCACAGUCAUGGGCUGCAGCUUGACUGAUACAAGUUGACCUAUCUGGGCAGCUCAGUUUCCAGUGGUGUUCUGGUCGGUGUUGGCUUCUUGCUGCUAGUUGGGCUCAGGUUUGACCCAUGUGUGUUCCUUCUGGGCCAAAGCUGAAGGGGAAGCAGCUACCCGGGGGAAGCUACACCCGGGAGACGACCGAAGGGCUAGAGAACAAACCAAAUGAUGCACGCACACUUUGAACCUCUGCCUGCACCAUGUCUGCUGAUAUCUCCUUGGCCAGAGCGAGCCCCCUGACUGAGUGCAGAGUCCACACAGGAGGAGGGCGUGGGGAUACUCUGCUCAUGACGGGCCAAAGCAAGUAACGUGGCCAAGCCCAACAUCAGUGGGGCGGGAAAGAGCCCUCCCACGGAGAGGGUUGGUUGGAGGGAAUGUCUGCUCCAUAGAAACCUAGUUUGCCACUGUCAUUGAGACGGGAUUCACUUUCUGCAACUCAGCUUCUCGCUGGAGAGCAAACUGCCAGCCUUCCUUCUUGCGGGCACCCCCAGUCUCUCCUCUUCCUCCCUUGAGGGGGUCACUCCGUCCCCUCCACUGUAGAGGGGUGGGGACCAGCUCUCUGAUCCUACUUUAUGUUCAGCGCACUCUGAGUGACCCAUCCUCUCGUCUAGCCGAGAUGGAGCAGUGGCUGCUAUUUGAGUGAUACUAUUAAAUUGUAAUAACUUUAAAAUGUUUUCAACUUAUUUCCUUUCUGAUUAUCAAAGAAGUAUAUUCUCUUUUGAAAGGAAAGGAAAAGCAUAAAGAUGCAGAAAAAGAUUUUCCCUACAAUCCCACCACCUAAAGGCUUUUAGAACAAACGUUGGUGUCAUGGCUCCCACUUAUACAACUAUUGCCUAGUCUGCGGUAAUGGAGUACCACCCCGUGGUGGAAACUUCCUGAAUUGCAGGUGAGCAGUCAUUUUCAAAGGAAGACGUGGAGAAAACGGAGCAAUAGGUUUGUUCACUUUCAUUUCAAGACAGAAGCCCUUGGAAGAUGAAGGAAGGAGAGGGGAGGGGUUGGACAAAGCACAGGCUUGGAAUCAGAGGAGGAACACAGAGGUGAUGGAGAGGCCUUUGAUAAGGUUCAUUUAUUUAACUCUCGUGCUGUCAGGCAUCCCUGUUUGUUACUAUUGUUAGAUUUCAUCGUGUUUUCACUGGCUAAAGUGUAGUAGGUUGAAGACCGUUUAAACCUGCUUUUUUGAUUGAGUAGCAGUUGGGAGCAAAUUGAAACAUAAUCUCCCCCAAUUUGAAAAUCAGGCAAAACUAUUUAAUCUUUUUAUCUAACUUUAGAUUCUGUGACUUUAAGAGAGCAAGAUAAAAGAAACAAUGACAAAGAAACUCAACCAAAACCCUUCUCUUUGAGUGGGAGGGUGUGGGUCUGGAGAAUUGGAAAAGUGGCCGAGAGCAGAGUGUGUGACCCGGGGACCCCAGAAAUGAGAUGUAUUUGCAGAAGCUAAAUAAAGGGGCCCUUGGUUUGGCAUGAUUCUCUUCUGUUUAAAUUGUGCUCUAAAAGGUUUCCACUUUAAUUAUAUUAGUUACCGCAGGAGGCCAACUGCUCAGGCAUUGCCUAGGCAACCGUCUGUGAUGGAUGCCUCCUCUGGACUGGGGGCCAGGGAAGGGCGGCUGGACCGGAGCGGGGAUUUCUGACCUUGUCAAGUCUGAAGGUCUGCCUAAAUGUCAAAAUAUUUCUGGUACCUCCACUGGUGGGUGCUGGUGCUUUUAGUAACCCUUUGUAUUUUGCGUUUGUUCUUUGCCACAGCAAAUUCCUACGUCUGAAAAUGCGAGCUUGCGCAUGGGGUGGGUGCCGCUAUUUCCUCGGGCUGCGCACAGUGCGUGGGCGCAGGCCGAUUCCUGGGCCUCUUCGGUUGCUCUGUGACCCGCACGCUGGGCCUCUCUAGGCCAGGGGAUCUCUCUAAGCUGUUCACGGUGGUGAUGGUGACAGGCCUUCCAAAACCAGCCUGGAAAAAAGUGCCAAGAGCCCACCUCACUGUCAUCUCAGGACAAAAUAACUGAGCUCUGAGAGAGGGUCUGUCACUGUUCCAGAUUCUUAAGGAGAGUCCAGGAACGUGGAAGAAGUUCAGAACUGCUCUGCCUGUGAAGAGGCAGGGUGCGUCAAGACUCAGCUGGAUGGAAGGAUGGCAAUGGCGUGGGUCAUCCUUGCCAUUGUAGCAACAGGUCUCAAUUACUGAGCGCCCGCCGCAGGCCGGGCACUGUACCUGAGCCAGUGGGGCGUAUUGUCAUCCUAGACCCCUGUAGUCUUCGUGACCAUCCUCCCAGUGGGUGUUAGCAAGCCUUUUACAGGGUAAAGUCCUGAGGCCAGAGUGUAAAUACCUGGACAGGGUCCUACAGAGAGCGAGUGGCAGAGACAGGACCCGGGCCCAGGUCUGGGUGCUCUCUCUGGGGCAUCACCCUGGGAGGGUGACAAUUGCUCCAAUGAGGUGUCCUGCUGGGAAUCCUUGCAAAUGGGUCAGGGACUCGACCUUCCCAUCCCGGCUGUCCCUGGAGGGCUGGGAGAGAAGACCUUGUAUUCAGAGUUGGGGCCAACCCAUUGAGAAAAUCCAGUCUCACAGGCGAGGCCUGAGGUGAGGUCCCUCCAACCCGACAGGUGGAUUCUCACCUUGAAACCCAGAGGGGCCCUGGGCUCAUGCCCAGAAAAGCCGGAUCUUUCCUUUCUCUAAACCCCAGCCAUUUGCUUUGCCCACACGGACCUGCAGCUUUUUUUAAGCUGGGGAGCAAACACUUUAGUUCGGGACUCUGAGUGUCUGCGCUUGGACGUCAGCGGCCUUUCUGUUACAGUUCUUUGUGGGGGGAUGGGCACAAAGGCCUCUCCUGAGAUGCGGCAAUGAUGCAGGGGGAGGGUCUGUCUGGACCUUACGCAGCAUCUUGGUGGGUGUCUGUGCCUGGGCAAGGACCUGGUCCCUCUUUUCUGUCCCCAGUGCCGUCUGGCUAGCUCCCCUCCCCUCCACAGUGCUCCUUGGUGUUGCCUCCUCUGGGAGCCUUCCUGACUCUGGGGAGCAUCUUGGGCCUCCUCCCACCGUGACCUGCCCUGUCCUGCAUGCUGCAGUCCUCUUCACAUGGUUUCCCUCCAGCAGGUGUCGGGGGGUUGUGUCUCCCUCAGCUCGGUGUCCCCAGCCUCAGCACAGUGCCUGGAGCUAAGUACUUAGUAAGGUGCUGCUGAGGAAGGCACAGUUUUCCAGCUGAGGAAGAGCCCUGAUCUGAAAACAAUCAAUGGUGAAGGGAAAGCACAUUGUAAGUGGCAGAGCCCCUCCUCCAACCAGCUUAAGCCGCAAGGGAGGAUUCGAGAUGGGAGUGGAUCCUGAUCCAGACUCAGAACACCGCCAGGCCCCCUCCGUCUCCCACCUCAGCUUCUCCUGCCUUUCAGUGUCGUUCUCAGACUAGCUCUCCAUGAGACAGGGCACAGCGUGAGGGAGGGCAGAACCCUCACCCAUCACUGCCUCCAGGGCAGGGGCUGUGGGCUAUCUCAACCUCUGUGUACCACUUAGGAGCUGUGUGACCUUGGGCAAGUUACUUAACCUCUCUGUGCCUGUUUCCUCACCAGUAAAAUGGAGAUAAUCAUAGUGCCUGCCUCACAGGAUUUUCGUGAGAAUUAAAUCAGCCAAUACAUGUAAAAUGCUUGGUCCAGUGCCUCGAAUAUAGUCAUAAAUGUUAGUUAUUACUAUUAUUAUUCAUUUUCAGCUCAACAACCCAUGUAUGCUCCUCCUUAGUCACAGGACAAACUCAAAAUCUGCUUUUCGUUGACUCCUAUAAUCUGGCCACAAAUCCCCAUCCAAGCUUUUCACUUACCGAAGAGGAAAAGCCCGCUCCUGUGUAUUUCUCCACUCUCGCACUCCUGCCACACUUCCCUUCUGACGCUUCUGUCACCAAACGUGUGGGGAUUUUCCUCACACCAAGCGAUUCCCCGCAACCCCCGCUGGGCGUCCUGUAACCCGCUUCAGUUCUGACACUCUCUAGCUGGAGUCAGCGCCAGAUCCCACAAGUUAAAGGCUCACCCACAAGACUGUCCCCACUUCAGACGCCAGUCGAGAGUCCCGGGUUGUCACCUGUUCCUCUGACUGACUGGCUACACAUCAGGGCCCUCACAAGUCCUCUUUGGUUUCUUUCAUUUGCUAGAACAGCUCACAGGACUCAGGGAAACGCUUACCCACAUAUCAAUCAGUUCCUUAUAUAAUAAAGGAGAUGAUAAAGGAUAUAGAUGAACAGCCAGCUGGAGGGAUCCAUAGGGCGAGGAAUGGAAGCAUCUCGAGCACAGGAGCUUCUGCUGUAGAGCUGGGGGGCACUACCCUCCCGGUACGUGGACCCAGAAGCUCCCCGAACCCCACACUAUUGCGGUUGUUAUGGAGGCUUCAUCACGUCGGCACGAUCGAUCAUUAACUCAACCUCCAGCCCCUCUCCCUUCCCAGAGGGGAAGCUUCGAAUCAUGGUUUGGUGUCUCUGAUGACCAGCCGCCAUCCAGGAGCCCACCAAGAGUCCCUCACUGGAACAAAAGAUGUUCCCAUCACCCGGGAAAUUCCAAGGGCUUUAGGAGCCGUGUUUCAGGAACCAGGGUCAAAAAUCAAAUAUUAGAACAAAAGAUGCUCCUAGCACUUGGGAAUUUACAAGGGAUUUAGAAGCUCUGCGUCAGGAACUGGGGUCAGAGACUAGAUGUUGGAACAAGAGAUGCUCCUAGCACCUCUGUUUACAAGGGUUUUAGGAGCUCUGUGUCAGGAACUGGGGCAGAGACGGCUACCCGUAUUUCUUAUUGUUUCACAUGUGUGUGUAUGUGUGUGUGUGUGUGUGUGUGUAUGUGUGUGUGAUGCACUGGUCCAGCCUCUACGCCUUUGCUCAUGCUCUGCUCCUGCUUGGUCUGCCCAUUGCUCAUUUCUCCACUCUUUUAAUUCCCUUCAAUUUUCAUGACCCCAGGGGUGUUCCACUCCUUCCAUGAAACCUGGCCUGGACACCAAAGCCCGCACGGGGUAGAAGCUGAUUUUCUCCCGGGGUCUCAUGUGUGGAAGCCCAUGGAGGGCAGAGUGGCCCUAUUUGCUCCAAAUGCCCAGGACCAGGCGUAGCCCUUGGUCAAUUUUUAUUAAAUAAAUUUGGUGUCUGCUUUGGUACUCGGAGAGAAACUUCCCAUGUCUGGCUUUAUUGAGACGAAUGACUCCCUUUAUUCUGAUUUUCUUGGAAGGAAACAAAAUCAAAGAAAGAAACCCUGAAACAGCUACAGUUUUAUAUAGAAAGCAUUAUUUCUGAGCUAAAUGAUUUUUUUCCUGAAGGAAAAUUUAGAAGUUGUAGCUUCUGAUGGAAUUAGAGGAAUGGAAAUGAAGUCACGCACAGAUUCACAGCAUCUGAAGAACUCGGUUUGGAUCCUAUUUUGCUUCUACAAAAUGCUAUAAAAGAUUCAAGCUUCUGGGCCAGUUCGGCUUUGCAGUAACACAUGUCCCUUGGGCUUCUCCCCAAAUUGCAUUUUUUCCUAGAUUCAGUCAAUUAUUUGCCUUGGAUAAUGUACUAGCUUUGCUGAGAACUUCUAGAAACCUGAUCCUUCUGGUCGUUCGCCGGCAAAGAAACCCUUUGAUUUCAAACAAAAAUGUCCUCACAGAUCAUUUGGAAACCAGGGUGACAGGGAAGUGCCUCAUUCCACCCCGUUCUGUCUGUUCUGUCAUCUCAGCCCGCCCCGCCCCCACAUCGUGUCUCCUGUCCUAGAUAUUGAAGGGUUCCCUCAGAAACACGC